rnacentral:rRNA from 1 species
GACGAACGCUGGCGGCGUGCUUAACACAUGCAAGUCGAACGGAAAGACCCUGCUCUUGCGGGGUGCUCGAGUGGCGAACGGGUGAGUAACACGUGAGUAAACUGUCCUUGUCUUAGGGAUAUCUUCUGGAAACUGGGGCGAAUACCGGAUAUGACCUCCUGCACCAUGGUGGGGGUUGGAAAGAUUCGGCGGUGGGGGAUGGACUGGCGGGUUAUCAGCUUGUUGGUGGGGUAGUGGCUUACGAGGGGUUUGACGGGUAGCCGGCAUGAGAGGGUGGCCGGCCUCCUGGCUCCUGAGAGACGCAGCAGACGCCUAUGGGACGCAGAGGGGGAGAGUAUGGCGGAGCGGGCGGGAGUCUGAUGAGGAGGCGUCGCGUGCGGGAUGACGUCCUUCGGGUUGUAAACCGCUGUGGAAGUUGACGAGGCGUGAGUGACGGUAAUGGGUAAGAAAGCAACGGCUAACUACGUG